rnacentral:rRNA from 1 species
GAUGAACGCUAGCGGCAGGCUUAAUACAUGCAAGUCGAGGGGCAGCAUGGUGUAGCAAUACACUGAUGGCGACCGGCAAACGGGUGCGGAACACGUACAGAACCUUCCUUCGAGCGGGGAAUAGCCCAGAGAAAUUUGGAUUAAUACCCCAUAGUAUAUUGAAAAGGCAUCUUUUUAAUAUUAAAGAUUUAUCACUUGAAGAUGGCUGUGCGGCUGAUUAGGUAGUUGGCGGGGUAACGGCCCACCAAGCCUGCGAUCAGUAACUGGUGUGAGAGCACGACCAGUCACACGUGAACUGAGACACGAGCCCGACUCCUACGGGAGGCAGCAGUAAGGAAUAUUGGUCAAUGGACGAAAGUUUGAACCAGCCAUGCCGCGUGGAGGAUGAAGGUCCUCUGGAUUGUAAACUUCUUUUAUAUGGGACGAAAAAAGGCUUUUCUAAGUCGUCUGACGGUACCAUAUGAAUAAGCACCGGCUAACUCCGUGCCAGCAGCCGCCGUAAAAC